AGAGUUUGAUCCUGGCUCAGGAUGAACGCUAGCGGCAGGCUUAAUACAUGCAAGUCGAGGGGCAGCAUGGUGUAGCAAUACACUGAUGGCGACCGGCAAACGGGUGCGGAACACGUACAGAACCUUCCUUCAAGCGGGGAAUAGCCCAGAGAAAUUUGGAUUAAUACCCCAUAGUAUAUCGAUUAGGCAUCUUUUUGAUAUUAAAGAUUUAUCACUUGAAGAUGGCUGUGCGGCUGAUUAGGUAGUUGGCGGGGUAACGGCCCACCAAGCCUACGAUCAGUAACUGGUGUGAGAGCACGACCAGUCACACGGGCACUGAGACACGGGCCCGACUCCUACGGGAGGCAGCAGUAAGGAAUAUUGGUCAAUGGACGAAAGUCUGAACCAGCCAUGCCGCGUGGAGGAUGAAGGUCCUCUGGAUUGUAAACUUCUUUUAUCUGGGACGAAAAAAGGUCUUUCUAGAUCGUCUGACGGUACCAGAUGAAUAAGCACCGGCUAACUCCGUGCCAGCAGCCGCGGUAAUACGGAGGGUGCAAGCGUUAUCCGGAUUCACUGGGUUUAAAGGGUGCGUAGGUGGGUUGGUAAGUCAGUGGUGAAAUCCCCGAGCUUAACUUGGGAACUGCCAUUGAUACUAUCAGUCUUGAAUACCGUGGAGGUCAGCGGAAUAUGUCAUGUAGCGGUGAAAUGCUUAGAUAUGACAUAGAACACCAAUUGCGAAGGCAGCUGGCUA
rnacentral:rRNA from 1 species